AAUAUAGAUUAUACCAGAUGUACAUAAACAACGACCACUCGGCGUUUGUUCAGUAUCGUAAAGAUAGCACAGAGAACAAACUAUUGUUCUGACCAACUAACAGUGUAACAGUUGAUAAGGAAUAAAACACUAGGAGUUAUGCCGCCCCCACCACCACACCACGGGCCUCCCCAUUGGGGUCCUCCCCACCACGGGCCUCCACAUCACGGUCCACCCCACCAUGGUCCACCCCAUCAUGGUCCACCGCACCAUGGUCCACCUCACCAUGGUCCACCGCACAUCCUUUGGCCUCCACAUCACGGGCCUCCGCACCACGGGCCUCCGCACCAUGGACCUCACCACCAUGGACCUCACCACCAUGGGCCACCACAUCACGGCCCACCACACCACCGCUAACUGCAAAUUGAAUGGACUAGUAUUGAUAAUGAACAAGAGUUUACAAAGAAGAUCUGACUGAAAUGUGUUUAAAAUUGGUGAUUAUAUAAAUAAUUUAGUUGCUUGUAAUAUCAAGUGUACAAAGUAAAAUUUAACUCAUUAUUACAUGCUUAUUUCAUUUUACGACGAUUCCUGUCCUGCCUAUGACGCACUUAUUUAAAGUGAAUCAUUCACAAAAAUUUAAUUCCACGGUAGAGCGGAUUAAAAGUAAAUUGUAAAAUAUUUGUAUAGAAUUUUUAUUUAUUAUUCCGGUUGAAUGUAUAAAUUAUAAUCCUGUUAUUUAACAUUUCUAUUUUAUGGUUCCUUGUUUAGUUUGUCAAAUAAGAUUAGCCCAAGGCUAUCUGGUCUGGUUUAAAUGCUUUAUUCUUUUGAAUUAUUUCCCUUAGAAACCAACUAAGUUAAGUUUUGGAUCAACUAUAAUAAUAAUAAUCUAAUCUAGAGUACUGAAUUUUGAAGUUUUCAUCUUUAUUAGGUCCUUAUAGAAAUUGAUAAGCGCCUAUACCUGAAAACAAACUUUGCAAUUAAUCACAUACACAUACUUCGUCCGUAUAUCGAUCAAUCUUAUCAGUUUCGUAAAAAAGGUUGAUAAUACUGAAAUCUGGCAUUCUGUAACUUGUGAAUGUAGUACUAAGGUUUCAUUUUCGGUAAUGUCGUUAUCUCAGAGAAGGGGAAUAAUUAUAGAUUAUAGCAAAGGUUGAUAAACAAGGUCCACUCGAUAAUUGUUUAGUGUCUGAAAGAUUGUACAGAGAACUGGUUUUGGUAUUCACUAUUUACCAACAAAAAGUGUAGAAGUUGAAAAGAAAUAUAAACAAGGAGUUAUGCCGCCCCCACACGUGCAGCCACCUUGCGGGCCAUACUGCCAAGGUCAUCACGGGCCACCCCACCAUUGUCCACCUCACCAUGGCCCACCACACCAUGGUCCACCACACCAUGGGCCACCACACCAUGAGCCUCCCCAUCAUUACCCACCCCCUCCACCACACCACCAUCAUCCUCCACCUCCACCACACCACCAUCCCCACCCACCCCCACCGCAUCAUCCACCAGGUUAUGUAGAACACCCUCCCCUGCCGAACCCUGGCUUCCACCCUGUCAAGCCUUACUAGUCAACUGCAAAUGGAAUGGACAACAACGAAGCACAAAUGGCAAUAACAGAAAACAAGUUCACUUAUAGGCUGGAAGAAUCGAACCUAGUGUGCUUAAAAAUUGUAAUGUAAUUACAUUUAAUAUUUAAAACAAGACUAUAUUACAUUAAAUACCUUAAAAUAAAAAAAAGACCUAUAUAUUGUGUUUCUAAUAUCAAACAAUACAGUUCUUUCUCUUUAUCCUAAGAUUUUUCCUUUUAUAAGUGCUUAGACUAAUAUGUAGUAAAUAAAUAUCCGGUGAUAAAGA